AUACAGAGGAUGCGAGCGUUAAUCGGAAUUACUGGGCGUAAAGCGCGCGUAGGCGGCUUAUUAAGUCAGAUGUGAAAUCCCCGGGCUCAACCUGGGAACUGCAUCUGAUACUGGUAAGCUAGAGUUUUGGAGAGGGAAGUAGAAUUUCAGGUGUAGCGGUGAAAUGCAUAGAGAUCUGAAGGAAUACCAGUGGCGAAGGCGACUUCCUGGCCAAAAACUGACGCUGAGGUGCGAAAGCGUGGGUAGCAAACGGGAUUAGAAACCCCAGUAGUCC
rnacentral:rRNA from 1 species